GUCGAGCGGAUGACGGGAGCUUGCUCCUUGAUUCAGCGGCGGACGGGUGAGUAAUGCCUAGGAAUCUGCCUGGUAGUGGGGGACAACGUUUCGAAAGGAACGCUAAUACCGCAUACGUCCUACGGGAGAAAGCAGGGGACCUUCGGGCCUUGCGCUAUCAGAUGAGCCUAGGUCGGAUUAGCUAGUUGGUGGGGUAAUGGCUCACCAAGGCGACGAUCCGUAACUGGUCUGAGAGGAUGAUCAGUCACACUGGAACUGAGACACGGUCCAGACUCCUACGGGAGGCAGCAGUGGGGAAUAUUGGACAAUGGGCGAAAGCCUGAUCCAGCCAUGCCGCGUGUGUGAAGAAGGUCUUCGGAUUGUAAAGCACUUUAAGUUGGGAGGAAGGGCAGUAAGCUAAUACCUUGCUGUUUUGACGUUACCGACAGAAUAAGCACCGGCUAACUCUGUGCCAGCAGCCGCGGUAAUACAGAGGGUGCAAGCGUUAAUCGGAAUUACUGGGCGUAAAGCGCGCGUAGGUGGUUUGUUAAGUUGGAUGUGAAAGCCCCGGGCUCAACCUGGGAACUGCAUCCAAAACUGGCAAGCUAGAGUACGGUAGAGGGUGGUGGAAUUUCC
rnacentral:rRNA from 1 species